ensembl:lncRNA
GUAGGCUCCGACUGCGCGACCCCCAAGCCAAAGUCGGGCACCCGUCCUGACUGGAAGGAAGUGCAGAUUCUGCGGAGCUUGAUACUGAAUGGAGAUUAAUAAAUAAGAAACACGGGCAACAAUACGGUGACUUUUCUUUCCUUUACCUGAUUAACUGCCCUGGCUAGAACCUUCAGAUUGAAUAGAAGUGGUAGAAGAAUCUGCCUGCCACUGCAGGAGGCAGCAGUUCAUUGUAUCAUUGGGAAGAUCCCCUGGAGAAGGAAAUGGCAACUCACUCCGUUAUUCUUGCCUGGAGAAUCCCAAGGACUGAGAAGACUGGUGGGCUACCGUCCAUGGGGUAGCAAAGAGUCAGACAACUGAGCAGCUGAGCACACACACACGCUCCUUACUUUCAGC